CAUAGUCUCCUGUUCAUUCUCUACAGUUGAAUCCUCAUCAUUAUUCUGGUUCCUUGAAUUUUUUUCAGGAGAACUAUAUAUAAUAAUUACUCUAUCAUCUGAACCAGGAACUGAAUCGGCAACUGUAAUCUUGGCUUGUGUCUCUUCCCUUAAGGCCUUUACUAUGCUUCCACCCUUUCCAAUGACACCCCCAAUUUUUCGUGAAGGACAGAGUAUUCGAUAAACAGUAUCGACACGAUGUGAAUUCCCUGAAGAUUCUUCAUGGCUAGAAUUUGUCCACUUUCCUCUUCUAUUGACCCCUUUCCGCUUGAAUUGAUUUUUUUGAUGUUUCUUAAAAAAUUUUCGCUUGUUCCCAUCCAUACUGCCACAGAAACUAAGAAGGAAGUGGCACCUGGUUUGUCCUGUAAGAGAGAGGCAGUGUGUAUUUAUGGCGAAGUCUGUGUUGUAUUUGCUAGAUUUGUGAGGGAGAGAGUUAAUUGGCACUCGCCAAC
rnacentral:misc_RNA from 1 species